rfam:Glossina morsitans morsitans, isolate Yale, WGS project CCAG01000000 data, contig: ctg10004542
UAGUUUUUCGUACGUAGGCGCCAUGAAUGGCGAAUUGUGCAUGCUGCUAGCACGAACCAGCAGUAUCUUUUGAAUAUUUCUA